rnacentral:lncRNA from 1 species
AACCGCCUAAGUUGGAGUGGUUUAGGAGAAUCGAACUGAAAGAAGGCGGAGGCGGAUCUCUUACCUGGUUAAUAGAUGAGAAAGAAGAAGAUGAAGAAGACCAAAAGCUCCGACGGAAACAAAUCGGGGAAAAAGGAAUCAAGUGGAGCGGGUGUUCUCACGAGCGAAACUAGGGGUAGUAUUUAUAAGAAGAGAAAGCAUGGAUGUUUGGUAAGAUGUGUCCCAUCAGAAGUAAAAAGGGCAAUGAAU